GGGGGCGAUCAUACCAGCGUUAAUGCACCGGAUCCAUCAGAACUCCGCAGUUAAGCGCGCUUGGGCUAGAGUAGUACUGGGAUGGGUGACCUCCCGGGAAGUCCUAGUGUUGCACCCUC
rnacentral:rRNA from 1 species